CUUUCUAGGGUCUGUCUGUGUUGUGGGGACAGCAGGAGACAGUGGCCCUGUUUGACCAGUGGACACCCCCACAGAAGACGUAAACAUAAGACCUGAAGCUGUAAAACUCCUAGAGGGAAACAGGGGAAAUGCUGUUUGACAUGGGUCUUGGCAAUGAUUUUUUGGAUAUGAAGCCAAAAGCACAGGCGAAAAAGCAAAAAUAGACAAGUGGGACUACACCAAACUCAAAAGCUUCUGCACAGCAAAGGAAACAACAAAAUGAAAAGGCAGCCUACGGAAUGGGAGGGAAUAUUUGCAAACCCUCUCUCUGAUAAGGGGUUAACAUCCAAGAUAUAUAAGGAACUGCUGUCACUCAAUAGCAGAAAACCAAAUCAGCCAAUUAAAAAGUGGGCAAUGGAUUUGAAUCGACAUUUAUCCAAAGAAGACAAAUAAUCAGCCGGUAUAUAAAAAGGCACCCGACAUCACUUAUCACCAGGACAUGCAAAUCAAAGCCACAGUGAGACCGACUUGCACCUGUUAGGAUGGCUGGCAUCAAAAAGACAAGAUGGCAAGUGUUGGCCGGGGUGUGGAGAAAGGGAGCCCUUGUACCCUGUUGGUGGGAAUGUAAAAUGGUGCAACCAGUAUAGGAAACAGCAUGGAGGUUCCUCGGAAAACUAAAGAUAGAUCUGCCAUCUGAUCCAGCAAUCCCUCUACUGGGUUACAGCCAAAGGAAAUGGCACCAGGAUCUUGAAGAUAGAGCUGUACUCCCAUGAUCGCUGUGGCUUUGUUGAGGAUAGCCAAGAUACGGAAACGCCCGAAGUGUCUGUGGUCAGAUGAAUGAAGAAAGAAAAUGUGGUAUAGACACAUGAUGGAAUAUUAACCUUUAAAAAGAAGGAAACCUGCCAUAUAUGACAACGUGAAUAAAC
rnacentral:lncRNA from 10 species